GGGGAUUUGGCUCAGAGGUAGAGCGCUUGCCUAGCAAGCGCAAGGCCCUGGGUUCGGUCCCCAGCUCCG
rfam:Rattus norvegicus chromosome 10, whole genome shotgun sequence.